UUUGUUGAAGCUAAUAUGAAAUAGCGCAUCUUUGUUAAUGAUGAGAAAGGAGGUUAAAACCCUCUCGGCAAAG
rnacentral:tRNA from 1 species